rnacentral:rRNA from 1 species
UUAAGCGACUAAGCGUACACGGUGGAUGCCCUGGCAGUCAGAGGCGAUGAAGGACGUGCUAAUCUGCGAAAAGCGUCGGUAAGGUGAUAUGAACCGUUACAGCCGGCGAUGUCCGAAUGGGGAAACCCAGUGCAAUUCGUUGCACUAUCGUUAACUGAAUACAUAGGUUAACGAGGCGAACCGGGGGAACUGAAACAUCUAAGUACCCCGAGGAAAAGAAAUCAACCGAGAUUCCCCCAGUAGCGGCGAGCGAACGGGGAGCAGCCCGGAGUCUGAAUCAGCUUGUGUGUUAGUGGAAGCGUCUGGAAAGUCGCAGGGUACAGGGUGAUACUCCCGUACACUAAAACACACAGGUUGUGAACUCGAAGAGUAGGGCGGGACACGUGGUAUCCUGUCUGAAUAUGGGGGGACCAUCCUCCAAGGCUAAAUACUCCUGACUGACCGAUAGUGAACCAGUACCGUGAGGGAAAGGCGAAAAGAACCCCGGCGAGGGGAGUGAAAAAGAACCUGAAACCGUGUACGUACAAGCAGUAGGAGCCCACUAGUUGGGUGACUGCGUACCUUUUGUAUAAUGGGUCAGCGACUUAUAUUCUGUAGCAAGGUUAACCGUAUAGGGGAGCCGCAGGGAAACCGAGUCUUAACUGGGCGUUAAGUUGCAGGGUAUAGACCCGAAACCCGGUGAUCUAGCCAUGGGCAGGUUGAAGGUUGGGUAACACUAACUGGAGGACCGAACCGACUAAUGUUGAAAAAUUAGCGGAUGACUUGUGGCUGGGGGUGAAAGGCCAAUCAAACCGGGAGAUAGCUGGUUCUCCCCGAAAGCUAUUUAGGUAGCGCCUCGUGAACUCAUCUUCGGGGGUAGAGCACUGUUUCGGCUAGGGGGUCAUCCCGACUUACCAACCCGAUGCAAACUACGAAUACCGAAGAAUGUUAUCACGGGAGACACACGGCGGGUGCUAACGUCCGUCGUGAAGAGGGAAACAACCCAGACCGCCAGCUAAGGUCCCAAAGUCAUGGUUAAGUGGGAAACGAUGUGGGAAGGCCCAGACAGCCAGGAUGUUGGCUUAGAAGCAGCCAUCAUUUAAAGAAAGCGUAAUAGCUCACUGGUCGAGUCGGCCUGCGCGGAAGAUGUAACGGGGCUAAACCAUGCACCGAAGCUGCGGCAGCGACACUAUGUGUUGUUGGGUAGGGGAGCGUUCUGUAAGCCGUUGAAGGUGGCCUGUGAGGGUUGCUGGAGGUAUCAGAAGUGCGAAUGCUGACAUAAGUAACGAUAAUGCGGGUGAAAAACCCGCACGCCGGAAGACCAAGGGUUCCUGUCCAACGUUAAUCGGGGCAGGGUGAGUCGACCCCUAAGGCGAGGCCGAAAGGCGUAGUCGAUGGGAAACAGGUUAAUAUUCCUGUACUUGGUGUUACUGCGAAGGGGGGACGGAGAAGGCUAUGUUGGCCGGGCGACGGUUGUCCCGGUUUAAGCAUGUAGGCGGAUGUUCCAGGUAAAUCCGGAACGUCAUUAACGCUGAGGUGUGAUGACGAGGCACUACGGUGCUGAAGUGACAAAUGCCCUGCUUCCAGGAAAAGCCUCUAAGCAUCAGGUAACAUCAAAUCGUACCCCAAACCGACACAGGUGGUCAGGUAGAGAAUACCAAGGCGCUUGAGAGAACUCGGGUGAAGGAACUAGGCAAAAUGGUGCCGUAACUUCGGGAGAAGGCACGCUGAUGGUAGGUGAAGUGACUUGCUCAUGGAGCUGAAAUCAGUCGAAGAUACCAGCUGGCUGCAACUGUUUAUUAAAAACACAGCACUGUGCAAACACGAAAGUGGACGUAUACGGUGUGACGCCUGCCCGGUGCCGGAAGGUUAAUUGAUGGGGUUAUCCUCACGGAGAAGCUCUUGAUCGAAGCCCCGGUAAACGGCGGCCGUAACUAUAACGGUCCUAAGGUAGCGAAAUUCCUUGUCGGGUAAGUUCCGACCUGCACGAAUGGCGUAAUGAUGGCCAGGCUGUCUCCACCCGAGACUCAGUGAAAUUGAACUCGCUGUGAAGAUGCAGUGUACCCGCGGCAAGACGGAAAGACCCCGUGAACCUUUACUAUAGCUUGACACUGAACACUGGUCCUUGAUGUGUAGGAUAGGUGGGAGGCUUUGAAGUGUGGACGCCAGUCUGCAUGGAGCCGUCCUUGAAAUACCACCCUUUAAUGGCUGGUGUUCUAACGUGGGCCCGUGAUCCGGGUUGCGGACAGUGUCUGGUGGGUAGUUUGACUGGGGCGGUCUCCUCCUAAAGAGUAACGGAGGAGCACGAAGGUCAGCUAAUCCUGGUCGGACAUCAGGAGGUUAGUGCAAUGGCAUAAGCUGGCUUGACUGCGAGCGUGACGGCGCGAGCAGGUGCGAAAGCAGGUCAUAGUGAUCCGGUGGUUCUGAAUGGAAGGGCCAUCGCUCAACGGAUAAAAGGUACUCCGGGGAUAACAGGCUGAUACCGCCCAAGAGUUCAUAUCGACGGCGGUGUUUGGCACCUCGAUGUCGGCUCAUCACAUCCUGGGGCUGAAGUAGGUCCCAAGGGUAUGGCUGUUCGCCAUUUAAAGUGGUACGCGAGCUGGGUUUAGAACGUCGUGAGACAGUUCGGUCCCUAUCUGCCGUGGGCGCUGGAGAAUUGAGGGGGGCUGCUCCUAGUACGAGAGGACCGGAGUGGACGCAUCACUGGUGUUCGGGUUGUCAUGCCAAUGGCAUUGCCCGGUAGCUAAAUGCGGAAGAGAUAAGUGCUGAAAGCAUCUAAGCACGAAACUUGCCCCGAGAUGAGUUCUCCCUGACUCCUUGAGAGUCCUGAAGGAACGUUGAAGACGACGACGUUGAUAGGCCGGGUGUGUAAGCGCAGCGAUGCGUUGAGCUAACCGGUACUAAUGAACCGUGAGGCUUAACCUU